GUGUCAGCCGCCGCGGUAAUACGUAGGUGGCAAGCGUUGUCCGGAAUUAUUGGGCGUAAAGCGCGCGCAGGCGGUUUCUUAAGUCUGAUGUGAAAGCCCACGGCUCAACCGUGGAGGGUCAUUGGAAACUGGGGAACUUGAGUGCAGAAGAGGAGAGUGGAAUUCCACGUGUAGCGGUGAAAUGCGUAGAGAUGUGGAGGAACACCAGUGGCGAAGGCGACUCUCUGGUCUGUAACUGACGCUGAGGCGCGAAAGCGUGGGGAGCGAACAGGAUUAGAUACCCUGGUAGUCCACGCCGUAAACGAUGAGUGCUAAGUGUUAGAGGGUUUCCGCCCUUUAGUGCUGCAGCAAACGCAUUAAGCACUCCGCCUGGGGAGUACGGUCGCAAGACUGAAACUUAAAUGAAUUGACGGGG
rnacentral:rRNA from 1 species